ACAUCUGCUUUAUCCAUUCACCUGUUGGUGGACAUUUAGGUUGCUUCCAUGUCUUGGCUAUUGUAAAUAUUGCUGCUGUGAACAUUGCAGUGCAUAUAUCUUUUUGAAUUAGUUCUCAUCUUUUCCAGGUAUGUGACCAGGAGUGGGAUUGCUGGAUCAUAUGGCCUUCUACAAGCAAUGCUGUCAUCUGAUAAAAGCCUCGGUGACCCCUCAGCAAUCCUGCAAAGAACUCGAAGCCUCAUAAGCAGCUCUGCUCAGUGCUUUGAUCAGACCAGAACCGACAGGACACUCGGGCCCGCACCGCGCAGCCGGUGCUCACCUCUGCCUUCGUGCAGAAUUUUGCUGAAAGGCUUCAGCUGUUUCUCGUAGAGGAUGGCGGUUUGGGUGUACUGGUGCCGCAGGGCAGUCCACGUUUUUUCUAACCUCCUGAUCUGGAAGAAAGAAAGGUGCUACUGUUUUGGAAAAGGCUCUUUUUAAAACUACCUUUUUGCUUAAGUUUUGGAAUGGGUGAUAGAUGUAGAUGGUAAAAACUCACAGCAGUUGAACAGUGUACAGAGAAAAGCUGAUCCCCCACCCCCACCCCGCUCCGCGUUACUCUAAUGGCCCAUCAAGACACACGCACACCCCUUUUCAAAUAAUUAAAAG